GAUAAACGCUGGCGGCGUGCAUUAGACAUGCAAGUCGAACGAACGACCUCGGGCUUGCCCGGGGAAGUUAGUGGCGAACGGCUGAGUAACGCGUAGGUGACCUGCCCAGAAGUGGGGAAUAACUGCCCGAAAGGGUGGCUAAUACCGCAUGUGGUCAUGGAUUCGGUUCCACGACCAAAGCCUUCGGGCGCUUCUGGAGGGGCCUGCGUUCGAUUAGCUCGUUGGUGAGGUAACGGCUCACCAAGGCGACGAUCGAUAGGUGGUCUGAGAGGAUGAUCACCCAGACUGGGACUGAGACACGGCCCAGACUCCUACGGGAGGCAGCAGUCGGGAAUUUUGCCCAAUGGGGGAAACCCUGAGGCAGCAACGCCGCGUGAGGGAUGACGGCCUUCGGGUUGUAAACCUCUUUUCUCAGGGACGAUAAUGACGGUACCUGAGGAAUAAGCCACGGCUAACUACGUGCCAGCCGCCGCCGUAA
rnacentral:rRNA from 1 species